AUUGAACGCUGGCGGCAUGCUUUACACAUGCAAGUCGAACGGUAACAGGCCGCAAGGUGCUGACGAGUGGCGAACGGGUGAGUAAUGCAUCGGAACGUGCCCAGUCGUGGGGGAUAACUGCUCGACAGAGCAGCUAAUACCGCAUACGAUCUAUGGAUGAAAGCGGGGGACCGUAAGGCCUCGCGCGAUUGGAGCGGCCGAUGUCAGAUUAGGUAGUUGGUGGGGUAAAGGCUCACCAAGCCAACGAUCUGUAGCUGGUCUGAGAGGACGACCAGCCACACUGGGACUGAGACACGGCCCAGACUCCUACGGGAGGCAGCAGUGGGGAAUUUUGGACAAUGGGGGCAACCCUGAUCCAGCAAUGCCGCGUGCAGGAAGAAGGCCUUCGGGUUGUAAACUGCUUUUGUACGGAACGAAACGGUCUGGGUUAAUACCCUGGGCUAAUGACGGUACCGUAAGAAUAAGCACCGGCUAACUACGUGCCAGCAGCCGCAGUAACAC
rnacentral:rRNA from 1 species